rnacentral:rRNA from 1 species
AUUGAACGCUAGCGGGAUGCCUUACACAUGCAAGUCGAACGGCAGCGCGGACUUCGGUCUGGCGGCGAGUGGCGAAUGGGUGAGUAAUGUAUCGGAACGUGCCCAGUAGCGGGGGAUAACUACUCGAAAGAGUAGCUAAUACCGCAUACGCCCUACGGGGGAAAGGGGGGGAUCGCAAGACCUCUCACUAUUGGAGCGGCCGAGAUCGGAUUAGCCAGUUGGUGAGGUAAAGGCUCACCAAGGCGACGAUCCGUAGCUGGUUUGAGAGGACGACCAGCCACACUGGGACUGAGACACGGCCCAGACUCCUACGGGAGGCAGCAGUGGGGAAUUUUGGACAAUGGGGGCAACCCUGAUCCAGCCAUUCCGCGUGUGCGAUGAAGGCCUUCGGGUUGUAAAGCACUUUUGGCAGGAAAGAAAUCGCACGGAUUAAUACUCUGUGUGGAUGACGGUACCUGCAGAAUAAGCACCGGCUAACUACGUGCCAGCCGCCGCAGUAA